UUAAAGGACUUAAAAUGAUUUAUUUCUUUGUUCUGCAGCAGAGAGCAAACAGAGAAGGGAGCCGGCCGGACCUGAAGCAAAGAGAUCUAGAUCUGUCUCUCCAACUGUUGCUGAUAACUUCAGGCUGCCUCCAUUUGACCCCGAUCGUCCUCUUGGUCAGGAGUUCACUGUGCAGAAACUGGCACGUUUCUGUCAACUGUGCUCUGUUUUCUACCUGAAUGAGAACGAGGAUAAAGACCUGCACUGCUGCAGUGAGGCACACUACAACAAUCUGCAGAAAUAUUACCAGGAGCUUCAGCAGAACUCUACCAGAUCCUGUGAAGAAAACUCCCAUGAUUGGGUUUCUGAAUGAACUGGAUAAAAAACAUGAUUUAAAGUACUUGGUUAAAGACGUCCCUGGAUGAAAAACACUGCUUAGAGAGAUUAAGGAAACAGAUCCGCUGAUUAAACUCGUCAAUUUCAAUAUAUUUGUUUCUUCUUGGUUUCAUUCAUAAAAAGUUUCUAUCUGUAAAUGUUCUUGCUUGUUUUGUGAUGCUUCCUUGAAAACUACCAGCAUUUUAUUGCAUCUUGAAUUAUCUGUUUUAUAUCUGAGAGGUUUGAAUAAUAGAAGUGUUAUUUGAUGGAAAGUUUUAAUGGAACACUUUGGUACCGACUGAACGGCUUCACAGUUUAGACCUACAGCUUCAGUUAUUUUAAUUUUUGCUAUUUAUUCAUCAAUAAAAGAAAAAUAAAUUGUUGGGCAAAUUAAAUCAAGCUAUUGCCCUGACCAUGAUCCAUCCCCUCAAUAUGGCAGCUUUUUUAGUUCAACUUUUAUUCAUUUUAAUCCCCAUCAGCUACAGAUUAGCACUGCUGCUACUUUCCCAGAGUUCAUACGAGGAAUAAAAUACAAAAAU